UACAGAGGUCCCAAGCGUUGUUCGGAUUCAUUGGGCGUAAAGGGUGCGUAGGCGGCCGCGCGCGUGGCGGGUGAAAUCUCCCGGCUUACCCGGGAGGGGGCUUGCCAGACGGCGCGGCUUGAGGGACGGAGAGGGGCGUGGAAUUCCGGGUGGAGCGGUGAAAUGCGUAGAGAUCCGGAGGAACACCGACGGCGUAGGCAGCGCCCUGGCCGUGCAAUAACCCUGACGCUGAAGCACGAAAGCUGGGGGAGCGAACAGG
rnacentral:rRNA from 1 species